ensembl:rRNA 5S_rRNA 5S ribosomal RNA
UUUCCCCUUAAUAUCACCCUGCAGCCCAAGACAGGUUACUCACUGAAGCUAAGCAGGGCUGAGCCUGGUCAGUACCUGGAUGGGAGACCACUUGGGAAAACUAGGUUGCUGUCGGAAGU